UGGUGGAGCGAUUUGUCUGGUCAAUUCCGAUAACGAACGAGACUUUAGCCUACUAAAUAGUUCGGGGACCCCCACAAAGGGGCCCCGCUUCAACUUCUUAGAGGGACAGGUGGCGUUUAGCCACACGAGAUUGAGCAAUAACA
rnacentral:rRNA from 1 species